rnacentral:rRNA from 1 species
GACGAACGCUGGCGGCGUGCUUAACACAUGCAAGUCGAACGAUGAAGAAAAGAAUCGAAGCUUCGGCAGAAAUUCAUUUCGGAUUAGUGGCAGACGGGUGAGUAACGCGUGAGCAACCUACCUCUUACAAAGGGAUAGCCUCGGGAAACCGGGAUUAAUACCAUAUAACAUUGUGACGAAGCAUUUCGAUGCAAUCAAAGCUACGGCGGUAAGAGAUGGGCUCGCGUCCCAUUAACCGGAUGGUGAGGUAACGGCUCACCAUAGUGACGAUGGGUAACCGGCCUGAGAGGGUGAACGGUCACACUGGAACUGAGACACGGUCCAGACUCCUACGGGAGGCAGCAGUGGGGAAUAUUGCACAAUGGAGGGAACUCUGAUGCAGCGACGCCGCGUGAGUGAUGAAGGAAUUCGUUUCGUAAAACUCUGUUCUAUGGGAAGAAAAGGACUGUACCAUAGGAGAAAGCUCCGGCUAAAUACGU